UACAGAGGAGCCAAGCGUUGUCCGGAUUGACUGGGCGUAAAGCGCACGCAGGCGGUUGCGCGCGUGGGGUGUGAAAUCUGGCCGCUUAACGGCCAGGCGCCAUCCCAUACGGCGCGACUGGAGUGAUGCAGAGGUCGAUGGAAUUGCCGGUGUAGUGGUGAAAUGCGUAGAGAUCGGCAGGAACACCCAGGGGGGAAACCAGUCGACUGGGCAUCGUACUGACGCUGAGACGCGAAAGCGUGGGAGCAAACGGGAUUGAGAAACCCCAUGGUAGUCCAGAACCCAAGU
rnacentral:rRNA from 1 species